rnacentral:rRNA from 1 species
UCAGGCCUAACACAUGCAAGUCGAGCGCGCCUUCGGGCGAGCGGCGGACGGGUUAGUAACGCGUGGGAACGUGCCCAGAUCUACGGAAUAGCCACUGGAAACGGUGAGUAAUACCGUAUACGCCCUUCGGGGGAAAGAUUUAUCGGAUUUGGAUCGGCCCGCGUUAGAUUAGGUAGUUGGUGGGGUAAUGGCCUACCAAGCCUACGAUCUAUAGCUGGUUUUAGAGGAUGAUCAGCAACACAGGGACUGAGACACGGCCCAGACUCCUACGGGAGGCAGCAGUGGGGAAUCUUGGACAAUGGGGGCAACCCUGAUCCAGCCAUGCCGCGUGAGUGAAGAAGGCCCUAGGGUCGUAAAACUCUUUCGCCUGUGAUGAUAAUGACAGUAGCAGGUAAAGAAACCCCGGCUAACUCCGUGCCAGCAGCCGCGGUAAUACGGAGGGGGUUAGCGUUGUUCGGAAUUACUGGGCGUAAAGCGCACGUAGGCGGAUUAGAAAGUUAGAGGUGAAAUCCCGGGGCUCAACCCCGGAACUGCCUUUAAAACUACUAGUCUAGAGUUCGAGAGAGGUGAGUGGAAUUCCGAGUGUAGAGGUGAAAUUCGUAGAUAUUCGGAGGAACACCAGUGGCGAAGGCGGCUCACUGGCUCGAUACUGACGCUGAGGUGCGAAAGUGUGGGGAGCAAACAGGAUUAGAUACCCUGG